UAGGGAAUCUUCGGCAAUGGGGGGAACCCUGACCGAGCAACGCCGCGUGAGUGAAGAAGGUUUUCGGAUCGUAAAGCUCUGUUGUUAAGGAAGAACGAGUGUGAGAAUGGAAAGUUCAUACUGUGACGGUACUUAACCAGAAAGGGACGGCUAACUACGUGCCAGCAGCCGCGGUAAUACGUAGGUCCCGAGCGUUGUCCGGAUUUAUUGGGCGUAAAGCGAGUGCAGGCGGUUAGAUAAGUCUGAAGUUAAAGGCAGUGGCUCAACCAUUGUAGGCUUUGGAAACUGUUUAACUUGAGUGCAGAAGGGGAGAGUGGAAUUCCAUGUGUAGCGGUGAAAUGCGUAGAUAUAUGGAGGAACACCGGUGGCGAAAGCGGCUCUCUGGUCUGUAACUGACGCUGAGGCUCGAAAGCGUGGGGAGCGAACAGG
rnacentral:rRNA from 1 species